rnacentral:rRNA from 1 species
AUUGAACGCUGGCGGCAGGCCUAACACAUGCAAGUCGAACGGUAACAGGAAGAAGCUUGCUUCUUUGCUGACGAGUGGCGGACGGGUGAGUAAUGUCUGGGAAACUGCCUGAUGGAGGGGGAUAACUACUGGAAACGGUAGCUAAUACCGCAUAACGUCGCAAGACCAAAGAGGGGGACCUUCGGGCCUCUUGCCAUCGGAUGUGCCCAGAUGGGAUUAGCUAGUAGGUGGGGUAACGGCUCACCUAGGCGACGAUCCCUAGCUGGUCUGAGAGGAUGACCAGCCACACUGGAACUGAGACACGGUCCAGACUCCUACGGGAGGCAGCAGUGGGGAAUAUUGCACAAUGGGCGCAAGCCUGAUGCAGCCAUGCCGCGUGUAUGAAGAAGGCCUUCGGGUUGUAAAGUACUUUCAGCGGGGAGGAAGGGAGUAAAGUUAAUACCUUUGCGCAUUGACGGUACCCGCAGAAGAAGCACCGGCUAACUCCGUG